UACGAAGGGAGCAAGCGUUGUUCGGAUUUACUGGGCGUAAAGGGUGCGUAGGCGGCCCUGCAAGUUGGAUGUGAAAGCCCCGGGCUCAACCCGGGAAUAGCAUUCAAAACUACAGGGCUUGAGUGUGGAAGAGGAUGGUGGAAUUUCCAGUGUAGAGGUGAAAUUCGUAGAUAUUGGAAAGAACACCCGUGGCGAAGGCGGCCAUCUGGUCCACAACUGACGCUGAGGCACGAAAGCGUGGGGAGCAAACAGG
rnacentral:rRNA from 1 species